GACGAACGCUGGCGGCGUGCUUAACACAUGCAAGUCGAACGGUAGGGCCCUUCGGGGUACACGAGUGGCGAACGGGUGAGUAACACGUGGGUGAUCUGCCCUGCACUUCGGGAUAAGCCUGGGAAACUGGGUCUAAUACCGGAUAGGACUCCGGACUGCAUGGUCUGGGGUGGAAAGCUUUUGCGGUGUGGGAUGGGCCCGCGGCCUACCAGCUUGUGGGUGGGGUGAUGGCCUACCAAGGCGACGACGGGUAGCCGGCCCGAGAGGGUGACCGGCCACACUGGGACUGGGAUACGGCCCAGACUCCUACGGGAGGCAGCAGUGGGGAAUAUUGCACAAUGGGCGCAAGCCUGAUGCAGCGACGCCGCGUGAGGGAUGACGGCCUUCGGGUUGUAAACCUCUUUCAGCAUCGACGAAGCGAAAGUGACGGUAGGUGCAGAAGAAGGACCGGCCAACUACGUGCCAGCCGCCGCAGUAA
rnacentral:rRNA from 1 species